rnacentral:rRNA from 1 species
AUUGAACGCUGGCGGCAGGCCUAACACAUGCAAGUCGAGCGAGCGGCGGACGGGUGAGUAAUGUCUGGGAAACUGCCUGAUGGAGGGGGAUAACUACUGGAAACGGUAGCUAAUACCGCAUACCAUCAGAUGUGCCCAGAUGGGAUUAGCUAGUAGGUGGGGUAACGGCUCACCUGGGCGACGAUCCCUAGCUGGUCUGCGAGGAUGACCAGCAACACGGGAACGAGGACACGGGCCAGACUCCUACGGGGGGCAGCGGUGGGGAAUAUUGCACAAGGGGCGCAGGCCUGAUGCAGACAUGCCGCGUGUGUGAGGAAGGCCUUCGGGUGGUAAAGCACUUUCAGCGGGGAGGCGUUACCCGCAGAAGAAGCACCGGCUAACUCCGUGCCAGCAGCCGCGGUAAUAC